rnacentral:rRNA from 1 species
CCGACGGUGAGAGGCGAAAGCUGGGGGAGCAAACCGGAUUAGAUACCCGGGUAGUCCCAGCUGUAAACGAUGCGCGUUAGGUGUGUCAGUGACCACGUGUCACUGAUGUGCCGAAGGGAAACCGUGAAACGCGCCGCCUGGGGAGUACGGUCGCAAGGCUGAAACUUAAAGGAACUGGCGGGGGAGCACCACAACGGGUGGAGCCUGCGGUUUAAUCGGACUCAACGCCGGAAAUCUCACCGGAUAA